rnacentral:rRNA from 1 species
UACGUAGGGUGCGAGCGUUGUCCGGAAUUAUUGGGCGUAAAGAGCUUGUAGGCGGUUUGUCGCGUCUGCUGUGAAAAUCCGGGGCUCAACCCCGGACUUGCAGUGGGUACGGGCAGGCUAGAGUGUGGUAGGGGAGACUGGAAUUCCUGGUGUAGCGGUGGAAUGCGCAGAUAUCAGGAGGAACACCGAUGGCGAAGGCAGGUCUCUGGGCCACUACUGACGCUGAGAAGCGAAAGCAUGGGUAGCGAACAGG